rnacentral:rRNA from 1 species
UGGGGAAUAUUGCGCAAUGGGCGAAAGCCUGACGCAGCGACGCCGCGUGAGGGACGAAGGCCUUCGGGUUGUAAACCUCUUUCAGCAGGGACGAAGCGAAAGUGACGGUACCUGCAGAAGAAGCACCGGCCAACUACGUGCCAGCAGCCGCGGUAAUACGUAGGGUGCAAGCGUUGUCCGGAAUUAUUGGGCGUAAAGAGCUCGUAGGCGGUCCGUUGCGUCGGCUGUGAAAACCCGAGGCUCAACCUCGGGCCUGCAGUCGAUACGGGCGAACUGGAGUUCGGUAGGGGAGACUGGAAUUCCUGGUGUAGCGGUGAAAUGCGCAGAUAUCAGGAGGAACACCGGUGGCGAAGGCGGGUCUCUGGGCCGAAACUUGACGCUGAGGAGCGAAAGCGUGGGGAGCAAACA